AUGGACGUGGUGAAGGCGGCGCAGCUGUCGGGGCGGACGCUGGAGAAGGUGGUGGUGCACCCGCUGGUGCUGCUCAGCAUCGUCGACCACUACAACCGCGUCGCCCGCGACACCAGGAAGCGCGUCGUCGGCGUGCUCCUCGGCACCUCCUCCCGCGGCGUCGUCGACGUCACCAACUCCUACGCCGUGCCGUUUGAGGAGGAUGACAAGGACCCGAGGAUCUGGUUCCUCGACCAUAAUUACCAUGAGUCUAUGUUCUCCAUGUUCAAGAGGAUCAACGCCAAGGAGCAUGUUGUUGGCUGGUACAGCACUGGUCCAAAACUAAAGGAGAACGACUUGGAUGUUCAUGCAUUGUUUACCAACUAUGUUCCUAAUCCUGUCCUGGUGAUUAUUGAUGUUCAACCCAAGGAGUUGGGAAUACCCACCAAAGCAUAUUAUGCUGUAGAAGAGGUUAAAGAGAAUGCUACUCAGAAAAGUCAGAAGGUGUUCGUCCACGUGCCAUCAGAAAUUGCAGCCCAUGAAGUCGAGGAAAUUGGAGUUGAGCACCUUCUGAGGGAUGUGAAAGACACAACAAUAAGCACACUUGCAACAGAGGUCAGCAGCAAGCUUGCAGCCCUGAAAGGACUCGAUGCGAGGCUUACGGAGAUCCGGGGUUAUCUAGAUCUUGUAAUUGAAGGGAAGCUCCCACUGAACCACGAGAUUCUGUACCACUUGCAGGAUGUGUUUAAUCUGCUCCCCAAUCUCAACGUAAAUGAGCUCAUUAAAGCGUUUGCAGUGAAAACAAAUGAUAUGAUGCUGGUCAUUUACCUGUCUUCUCUUAUCCGGAGUGUCAUUGCUCUCCACAAUUUGAUCAACAACAAGAUGCUAAACAAGGAACACGAGAAGGCCGAGGAUUUGAAGCCAGCCGCCGUACCUACUGCAGCCGGGAGCUGA
rnacentral:rRNA from 1 species